UAUUGGUCAAUAGCCUAAAGGCUGAACCAGCAACUUGAAGGAACGAAUAGCGAAAGCUAGUCGUAUAUAACUAUAAUAGUUAGUACAAUAUUGACUCGAUCAAAUAAAGUUCUGGGUGGAUUAUGAUAAUGACAUUUUCUACCUAUGUGUCUGGACCAAAUUACGUGCCAGCAGUCGCGGUAACACGUUACAGACUAGUGUUAUUCAUCUUUAAUUGGUUUAAAGGGUACCUAGACGGUUAAUUAAGCCUCAAACAAGGUACUAGUUAACUAGAGUUUUAUAUAAGAGGGCAUUAAGGUACUGAUUACGAAGAGAGAUGAAAUUCUGUGAUACUAUAGAAGGCACAGAUAAAGGCGAAAGCGUCUCAUUAUGUAAUAACUGACGUUGAGGGACGAAGGCUUUGUGAAAUAAAAAGGAUUUGUUACCCAAGUAGUCUUUCUGCAGAAAAUUAUGAAUGCCAUAGGGUAAACAACAUUUAUUCUAUAAAUGAAAGUGUAAGCAUUCCACCUCAAGAGUAAUUUGGCAACAUUGGAACUGAAAUCAUUAGUCCGUUUCUGAAACAAGUAGUGAAGUAUGUUGUUUAAUUUGAUGUUCCGCAAAAAACCUUACCACCACUCCAAAAGAGUGCGUUAACAUUUAACUGUUAAUAAAUUGAAUAUAAAAAAGAUUUUUUAUACAGGCGCUGCACGGUUGUCUUCAGUUAAUGUCGUGAGAUUCUGGUUAGUUCCAUUAAAUUAACGUAAACCCUUACUCUAUUUUAUUAUAGAGUUGUUCACCGUUAUAUUGGAUAAGAUAAG
rnacentral:rRNA from 1 species